rnacentral:lncRNA from 10 species
UGGCAUGCUACACUUUGUUUGUUGUUUGUCUUUGCUCACUUGAAUGUAGCUUGUUCACUGCUGUAUCCUCAGUAUCUUUAAUGGGGCCUUGCAGAAAGUAGUUCCUCAAAUAUUUGUUAUGUGAGUCUCAUCUUGUCAUCCAGGUCAAGAGACAAUCGGACACUGUCUGAAGAAACGGUCAAAACAAUAUGCUGUAUUUCAGAAUUAUAUCCUGAAAUUAUAUUCCGAAAGGAGUUAGUCAGCAUGUGUGGGUGACAUUAGGGAGUGUUUUCUGGAGGGAAGGGCAGGUGCAGGAAGGGUAGGAUGAGGGCCAGGUGAGGAUAGGGUGGACUCAGGCCUUGUUCUCUUCCGUAGGUCUUUACUCACCUGGAGACCUGUGGCCCACUCCGCCAGUGUGUGUGACAAGCAGCUUAAACUGCACCCUGGAGAACGGCGUGCCUUGUGUGAUUCAGGAGUCGGCCCCGGUUCAUAAUAGAGACAGAGUCUUGCUCUGUCGCCCAGGCUGGAGCGCAGUGGUGCAAUUAUAGCUCACUGCAGCCUUGAACUCCUGGGUUCAAGCGGUUCUCCUGCCUCAGCCUCUCAAGUAACUGGGACUACAGUUUCAUUGAUUGGAGUGCAACAUGCGAAGGCCAGUUUUCCAGCGCAUACUGUCCAUUGGAAUUGAACGAUUACAAUGCCUUUCCAGAAGGUAAGGGCUCUUCAGACAAUCCCAACGCCAUUAUUUUAUUCUUAGA